rnacentral:rRNA from 1 species
GAUGAACGCUGGCGGCGUGCCUAAUACAUGCAAGUCGAGCGAACAGACGAGGAGCUUGCUCCUCUGACGUUAGCGGCGGACGGGUGAGUAACACGUGGAUAACCUACUUAUAAUACUUGGAUAACUUCGGGAAACCGGAGCUAAUACCGGCUAAUAUAUUGUACCGCAUGGUUCAAUAGUGAAUGACGGUUUUGCUGUUUCUUUUAGCUGGAUUCGCGCCGCCUUAGGUAGUUGGUAAGGUAACGGCUUACCAAGGCGACGAUGCUUAUCCGACCUGAGAGAGUAUGCGGCCACACUGGAACUGAGAAACGUCCCAGACUCCUACGGAAGGCAGCAGGAGGGAAAAUGCAGAAAUGGAGUAAAGCCUGACGGAGCAAAGCGGCGGGGGUGAUGAAGGUCUUCGGUUGGUAAAACGCUGUUAUUAGAGAAGAAAAAAUGUGUAAGUAACUAUGCAGGUCUUGACGGUAACUAAGCAGAAAGCCACGGCGAAUUACGA